CCUACGGGAGGCAGCAGUGAGGAAUAUUGGUCAAUGGGCGAGAGCCUGAACCAGCCAAGUCGCGUGAAGGAUGACGGCUCUACGGGUUGUAAACUUCUUUUGUAAGGGAGCAAUUGGGUCCACGCGUGUGCUUAGCGCAAGUACCUUAAGAUAAAGCAUCGGCUAACUCCGGGCCAGCAGCCGCGGUAAUCAGAAGGAUGCGAGCGUUAGCCGGAUUGAUGUGUUUUAAAGGUGUCGUAGGCGGAAUAUCAAGUCAGCGGUAAAACUUCGGAGCUCAACCCCGUCGUGCCGUUGAAACUGAGGUUCUUGAGUAGGCGAGAAGUAUGCGGAAGUCGUGGUGUCGCGGUGAAAUGCAUAGAUAUCACGAAGAACUCCGAUUGCGAAGGCAGCAUACCGGCGCCCAACUGAAGCUGAAGCACGAAAGCGUGGGUAUCGAACAGGAUUAGAUACCCUUGUAGUC
rnacentral:rRNA from 1 species